rnacentral:rRNA from 1 species
UACGAAGGGGGCUAGCGUUGCUCGGAAUCACUGGGCGUAAAGCGCACGUAGGUGGGUCGUUAAGUCGGGGGUGAAAUCCCAGGGCUCAACCCUGGAACUGCCUUCGAUACUGGCGACCUUCGAGUCCGGGAGAGGUGAGUGGAACUGCGAGUGUAGAGGUGAAAUGCGUAGAGAUCCGGAGGAACCCCAGAGGCGAAGGCGGCAGCCUGGUUGGUAUCUGACGCUCGGACACGACAGCAUGGGGAGCGAACGGG